UUUUAUUGGUUGUACAUUUCUUAUGAGAUCAACACACCAUCUCUUUCACGGACACCUUGUUCCUGAAUGCUGAUAUGGUUUGUCCCAGCUACGAAAGUCAUAGCAAGCACUUUGAGAGAAAGAGGUGGUCGGGUGUUUUUGUUUGUUUGUUUUUGUUUGUUUGCCAUUAUCACUUUCUUCUUGAUACCGAAAUGGUUAUUUGAGUCAGUUCAUAGAUUGACAUUACAUUGAACACAACACAUAGGGUGUGAAGUUGUACAUACACACACACAAACAUCUGGGGACCAGCUACAGUGUCAGCAGCUGGUUCUUUCCUCCUCAGCAGCAGUAUGAAACUGAAAAAUAUCCUGAGAUAGGAAAUCAAAGUGAGUGCUCCUCAUGACCAGAGGAGUUCAAGUUCACCUUAAUUUCCCAAUUUCAUUUUCCUUUUGAGGGAGUGAGUGGGGAGUCAUACAAGCCAUGUCACCACCUCCUGGUUUAACAUCUCAGCCACUUCCUUGGUCAAAAACAUGGAUUCAAAGAAAUGUUUCAUAGCACAUCAGAAACAUUUUUUUCAAUAUGCUCUCAGAAAGAAGGAGAAAUUGAUAAGAUUAUGCUCUUUAUAAGAUACCGUGAUUGAAACCUUAUAUAUUCACUGAUAGAAGCCAAUCACCAGAUUAUGAUGUAUGCCCAUCAAUGUUAUUUGCAUGAAACGAUGAAUUUCUCUCUCAAGAACAGAGACCUAUGAGAGGUGACUUCUCCAAAUGUUAUAAACAAACACGACUUCUUUAGAGCUCUGUUAUGCCUCAAUAAAGUAUAUUUCUGGAAGCACUUAACCUGUAACCUACAUCAAUCCAAAUCCUGCAUCUACCUCAAGUCCUGUGCACUGGCUAGCCCCUUGGUUUCGGGAUUUUGAGAUAACAUCACCAUUCUGAUAAGCAAUAGUUCAAAAGAAAAAGCAGACAAACAAACAAAAAUGCACACAACCUGGAUAAAAGGAGAACUAGGCUAAAAUGAGAGAGGAUGGGAACAACCAAGCCAACAGGCAAAGAUCAAAAAGAGGCACUGUCCACCAAAAGGUAUUUUUAAAUACAAUCCUGGGGCUUCAUAGGAGUUAUCAUUUGAACAUUCGCAACUUCCCUUUCCCCACACAACGAUGGGAAAUGUUUUCACCUGAAGAACGCUCCCCCCCAUAUUUCCAUGAAGGAAAACACAACAUGAAAUACGCACCCCCCCCAACUCUCUCCCCCUGCAGCUCCCAAGCAAAGACAUUCCAGAGCCACAAGUUAAAUUUAACAUUCACCGCAAAGGCAUGGAAACAUUCCACCCACAUGCAUAGACUUCUAAUGAAUUCCAUACUCUACAGUUCAGCCUGCCUCAUUCAUAAAGAAAAGAUACUGCAACCCACAAAGAAGAGAUGAUUCCAACCAGGGAAGGCUAGCAGCGAGCUGCACAUAGCAGGAAAGAUGCAGGAGCCAAUGAGGGAAUCCACACACCAUGAUUCAUCCUGCUGAUUCAAAGUCUCCAGAGACACUAAAUUUAAGUACUGGAGAUAUGAGUUUUGAAGGAAAAGGAGUAUACAACCUUUCUGAUAUACUUUCAGAAUACUUCAGGUACCAAGAAGAGGUAACCGGCUCCUAAAUAGCUUAUGGAAUUAUAAGCAUCAAGGUAUGUUUCAUUCCAGCAUGGAGGCAUGUUUCCACUGCCCAAUAACAUCCUUUACAAUGAAUAUGGUUUAAAAAAUAAAUUUGGGCUCCAAUAUAGGAAAACAAUCAAUCAUACAUACAGAUAAAAAUAUAUAUCCUAAAAUUCACAGAAUGAAAAAAAAAUUAUUUUCUUAAAAAAAUAUAUGAAAGCAGCAUUUUCAUCUAUGAAACAGAAGUACAAAGGAAGCUAGGGAAAUCCACCUAUUUUACCCAAAUUCCUGUAAUGGUAAUUCCACAGAGAAGCUCUGUUUAGCAUCUCAUCAAGAUUUUCUCAAAAUAUACAGAAAAGUGUUCAAGGGUUUAAAUAGAGAAUGUGAAGCCAUAUCUCUAACAUCUCGUUCAGCCAACUCUUUUCAUUUAAAAUAUUUAAAAUGACCCAAUUUGGUGAUUCUGUAUAGCAGGAGAUAAGUUCUUAUUGGGUAGGUUAAUUACACAAAGAAACUGUUUCCUCUAAAAUAUACUUACCAUUCUGUUAAAAUGUCAUUUCAUUUCAUUUCAUGUAGAGAAUCACUCCACUCAGAAAAUAAAUUUUGGCAAAAGAAUAAAUCAGACAGAGGGAUAAAAUGGGAGAUAAACUGUCCACAUUUUCUUAAUCAAACUUUGUCGAGUAGCUUUUUAAUAUAGAGAUUAGCCAAGAACAAUACACACAGUUGUUGCUCAAGGAAACUUUCUGACAAUAUAAUAUUCCAAAAUGGCUCCUGUGAAACACAAGCUGCCACGUUUCCUUUUGUGCAAAUCUCUACUUGUGUGGAAGGCACAGGGCAGGUUCAGUUCGUGUCUACGUUGGUAUCUGAGGCCUCCCUUGUGCCCAGUUCCUGACCAAUACACCCUUGGAGUUCUGGUUUCCAAUGUCUGUAGCAGGUCUCCAUUGCCCUCUAACUACGACCCUUCUGUAAAACCCAGUCAGGGGUAGUGGUUAAGUUCCUUUGAGUCCCAGCUAGCAUUUGGUCUGUGUCACAAUUGCUUAAAGAGCUUUAUUUUUUUCCUACAGGGCCAAUGAACAAAAAUUAUGACUCCUUCCUUUGCAACCCUAGAAAUGUAAAAAUGAUGCUGCCAAGAGCCCAGGAAUUCCCUCCCUGUCAGGGAGAGGAGGAAGGGGGGUCAAGCUGUUCUCAACUACUUUAGAAAAAUAACCCAUUUAAGGACCUAUAUUACAUGGCCUUCACAUGUUGAUUUCAGGCACUUACUUUGAAAUCAUUUCUGCUUAAAAAUUAAAAUAAAUAGUCCUGUCCUCUUGCUGUCUCCACUCCCUAACCCUUUUAGCACGCUCAAUACAGCAAAAACCAGGAUUCACAGGCAUGGUUGGCUACAAAGUUUCUCAGAUUGGAGGGCUCUUUGAGAUAUGCAAGUGGUCCUUUCAUUCCUGGGGCCUUAGAAGCCACAGAGACUGGAGGUUGAUGGAGUCCAGAGGAACAAAGCUGACUUUCACCACAUUCUCUUCCUUUUUGUUCACAAAAGAUCCUCAAAGUACUGAAAAUCCAAACUAGCUUUGAGUGAUAAAUUUGUAAAUUAUAAUUCUACUUCUAGCAAAGACGUGUAAUGUAUUUCUAAAAGCAUUCACAGCUUUCUGCACUGUGGGCAUGCAAAAUGUAUCUAUCCCAUUCAGAAAACCUUGUAUGGUAUCCACCUUUCUUAAAACUGCCACCAGAAUUAAAGGUUAGGAAGCUCAAGCUCAGGUUUUGUGUUCAUAUUUCUUUACUCAAAAAGGAGCUGGUGAAUGAGCUGUAUACACUCAAAAUGCUGUAAGCAAUUCGUUUCUUUUUCUCAAAUGUCUUAAUACCCCAUAUGCACUGACUUUUGUUGCAGAUGCCAUCGGUUUAAAACGGAGACCCUCCAAAAAAUAAAUAAAUAAAUAAAUAAAAUAAAAAAUAAUAAAAUGGAGACCCUGGCCGGGGAUUUAGCUCAGUGGUUUCGCCACCUGCUGCACAAGCGUAAGAACCCGAGUUCGAUCCCCAGUAACAAUAAAAUGGAGACUCUCUAGAAUUAAUGACAUUAGAGAAAAGGAAAUUUUCCGAUAUUCAAAUUAAUGCCACUAUCUGAAUCUGCUUAUAUUUCAGUAUUUUUUAUAGAAAAAAAUACAAGUUCAGUGUUUUGAUGGGUUUCUCCACUGAGGAGCAUCUCCAUAACAUAAGUUAAAGGACAUAUCUUUCCUUUCAUCUUUUUAUCAGCCUGCUUUUUCCAGGGGUUUCUCAUUCAGUUAUUGCUCUUUGCAUUUAUCUUUCCUCCCAAUCCACAAACAUGAUUUCACAUCACCGUUCUGCUUUAAACUCCAAAAUCCAGUGAUAAUACCUGAAAACAGCACCCUCACUUGCUCUGUUUAAAUAUCCUGCAGUCUCUAAUACAAGCAUUGGUAGUGAUCCAAUGAUGCUAAUUACUCAUUUCCAACUGCAAAAUAUUGCUGAAGGAAAGCAGAUGCCCAAUCUAACUGCUCUUUUGGAAAGGCUAAAUGGAAGUUCUUAUUAUAAAGGCUCAUACUUUAUUGGGAGUUUUGGUUAAAGUUCUCUCAGAAAUCCCUUACAUUUUCAAGAAUCGGGAAAACCACAAUUCAUUUAGUCACAUUGGUGCACAAUUGUUAAUUUUACUUUUUGGUAUAUAAGAAUGGAUAGACCAGUUCCUUUUCACAAAAGUAUUAAGUCAUCUCUGAUUUGCCAAGGGAUGCUAUGAGGAAAAACAUUAAAAACGGUUAAUGGCCCACUCUAGGAAUUAUUUAGAAAAUUGUUUCCCACAUUAAGACACGAGUAAGUGCCUACCCUCGCCUUUGCUUUCCCAGAACUCAAUUGCCAACCCAUAAAAGCCUCAUUGCUUGAAAGAGACCCUGAAUUUCAGAAAGGCAAAUGUGUAAACUCAGGAAAUCUGAGAGCACAUCAAGAUUAACUCCACACAAAAACAAAGGUCUGUCCAUAUUGACAGGUGUAAGAACAAAUACAAUGGAAACCUUUCAAAAUCUAACUGGAAACUCGCAAGAAUAAAAGGCUCAGUGCUCCAUUCCAAGGAUAAUACAAGUAAGGUCAAGAUACUAAAUGUCUAAGGAGUUAGCAUAUUUUAAAAUUCUAUCAAUCUGUUUGCAUUAGGAGGUGAUACUGGCUUCUGAAAAACAAGAAUUCCCUACUAUGAAAUCUCUGACCUUGCUUUGCAUCUCUCUCUACUUAGGCUACAGUCCUCUUUACUUCAAAAGAGAAAGAGGCUUUUAAAGGAAUUUGGCUUGAAAAAGUUUGGGGCAGGAAAUAAAAAGAUUAACCCAAGUAAAUUCUUGAUUCGAAAGGACACCAGUUGGAAACGUGCAAAAGCAUAAUAUUUGCAUAGUUGUAAAUAGCAACUCUCUAAAACUCAGAAAAAAGACACAUCUUCUUGGCAGUCACCAGAAACAGGUGGCAAGUGAUGGAUUUGAUGGCAGUGUGCUUCCCUUGGGAGGAUAAUUUCAUUUUGAAGGCUCUGGAAUUCAGGCUUUGUUUGCUAGGUAAAGAAAAAAUAUUCUUUUAGGUAAACUGACAGAUCAAACACUUCAAAAUGCCUUCUUAAGGAUUCCAAGUGUGAUACAGGGCAUUUGGUUGACCAUGCAGUCGGAAAAUAUAUUUCUGAAAAGUAACGAGAAGCUUUAAGAAGUGUUCUAGGAGAGAAAGAAAAUGCAGGCCACUCUCCCAGAGUCAUCUGCCUAGGACUCUGCGCAGCUCAGGGGUGCAAUACUGACAGAUACUGGGCCAGUUAUGCAGCUGUUCUGGUUCCUUAGAAAAGCGCAGAAUCUUGCACCAGAGGCUUUGGCAUCCAAAAAUUCAACCAUAACUGACAACCCAAGAAAAAUCAAAUCAGAAGCAGCCAUUCUGCAGGGGUCCCCUUACUGAUGAUUUGAAAAGAAGGGUCCUCCUCUAGUUUUGGGAACAGCGUACAAGGGGUCUACAUGAGUCUUCAGUCACAGUGAGAAGGAAGCUCACUGAGGACAAGACUACCGGGAGACAGGCUCCAAGGCCCCUGAGGCUAUCUGAGAACAAGACUUUGACCUCAACAUAUUCUUUCUUACUUCCUGAAAACAUGGACAAAUCCAAGAGGUGGAUGAAUUCCAAGAUAUUAAAAACUAUAUCUGCCUUGUACUUCUGAGGUGAGUUUGGGCUUCAAAAUUCCCAAAUCUUAUUACAGUUCAGGGAAUAGGGAAACAAAAUUAUUAAUGUCUCGGUUCAUGAUUCUUCUUGUAUGUGAAUCAUACCACAGAGAGGAAUAAAAAAACCUAAGUUCCAGGAUACAGUUAACAUCUAAGAGAAUGUGACUUUUUAUUUCCAAAGUGAAGUAAGUUUUCUUGGUGACUGUGUAGAAAUUUUAAAAAGUAAAUACUCCAU
ensembl:lncRNA